UCUCAUGAACAUAUUGAGUUGGUUGACCA
rnacentral:piRNA from 1 species